rnacentral:rRNA from 1 species
CCUACGGGGGGCAGCAGUAGGGAAUAUUGCUCAAUGGGGGAAACCCUGAAGCAGCAACGCCGCGUGGAGGAUGAAGGUUUUCGGAUUGUAAACUUCUUUUGUUAGAGAAGAUAAUGACGGUAUCUAACCAAUAAGCACCGGCUAACUCCGUGCCAGCAGCCGCGGUUAGACGGCGGGUGCAAGCGUUACUCGGAGUGACUGGGCGUAAUGAGCGCGUAGGCGGGAUAGCAAGUCAGAUGUGAAAUCCUAUGGCUUAACCAUAGAACUGCAUUUGAAACUGUUAUUCUAGAGUAUGGGAGAGGUAGGUGGAAUUCGUGGUGUAGGGGUAAAAUCCUUAGAGAUCAAGAAGAAUACUCAUUGCGAAGGCGACCUGCUAGAACAUAACUGACGCUGAUGCGCGAAAGCGUGGGGAGCAAACAGGAUUAGAUACCCUUGUAGGC